UAUAUAUAAUGUUAUUUUUACACUGUUUUAAACUUUAAUAAUUUUUUUUUCAGACAGCAGGGGGAGUACCUGUCAUACAGGCACUCCCCCUGCUGGCACUGCCUUGGACGGCUAUGCCGUCCAUGUGAUCGUGAGGUCCUCUUAAGGACCUCGUGUUUACAUGGCCCAGGGGUUCGAAGAGGAUUGAGGGGGACUCCGUGGGCUCCCAGGUGAGUCCCCAUACCGCCAUCGCCAGCGUGGCAUCGCCGGCGACCGGGUAAGUAGAAAGGACGGUUUGGUCAUUCUAUGCCGCCCUCUGGCAUUUAGAACCGGUUCCUUAAGGAAGGCAUAGAACGCCCAAGGUCCUUAAGGGGUUAAUACCUACCCACAGAUUAAUACUCAAGCCUCACUUAUAUCAUAUUUUGGAUGGGACAAGCACAAUCUUCUAAUCAAGCCUAAACAUGCUGUGUGGAACAAGGGGACCACACAGAUAGGGAGAUCUCCAGCAUGGUGACCUGAAAACAAUAAGCAGGCAAGCGAGUGGGCAUGGUACUCAGUGAUGGCGUUCCCUUACAACUCCAAACUACCUGGUGCAAUCUCUAUACAUGUAUGCAUUAUAUAUUGGUAAAAGUUAAUUUGUUCUAAAUAUUACCUACCUCUAAAAACAUCUCUGUACCACUUUACGUGCUCCCUGUCUGUACCUUGCUCACAUCAACAGCUUGGCAGAAAUGAAACCAAAAGUAAUGUCAUAGAUGCUUAAGAUGUCAAGCACUAAAGCUAGGCAAUGUCAGUAAAGUCCACAUCUUCAGCAGUUAUUAGUAGAUGGCACAGACAGAAAGGUACACAAUCAGCAUCUAAAUGAUUAAGAAAUAAACAGUUUUAACUAAAAUUUCCCUAAAAGUUUUUUGUCCCUCAAUCCCCUCUGUGUGCC